rnacentral:rRNA from 2 species
GUUUCUUAAUUGGAAUCUAGAAUGAAUGGUUUGAUGAAAAAUAUAUUUUCUUUAUUUUAUAUUAAAAACUUAAUUUUUUAGUUAAAAAGCUAAAAUCUUUUUAUGGGACGAGAAGACCCUAUAGAACUUUAUUUUUAAAUUUAUACCUUUUUUUAUAGAAUAUAUAUAAAUAUAUAAAAAUUAAAUUUUGUUGGGGUGACAGAAAAAAAAUAAUAACUUUUUCUAUUUUUUUCAUUAUAAAUGAAUAAUAAUUUGAUCCUUUUUUAAAGAUGAAAGAUUAAGUUACCUUAGGGAUAACAGCGUUAUUAUUUUGGAGAGUUCAUAUCGAUAAAAUAGUUUGCGACCUCGAUGUUGGAUUAUAAUAAGAUAUAGGAGUAGAAUAUUAUAUUCUAGGUCUGUUACGACCUUUAAAUUUUUACA